rnacentral:rRNA from 1 species
CGUGAUAAGGGGAUCUCGAGUGCCAGCAUUAUAAUGUUGGCUGUCCAGAUGCCUAAAAAGCAUCUGUUAGCAAGGGCCGGGCAAGACCGGUGCCAGCCGCCGCGGUAACACCGGCGGCCCGAGUGGUAACCGCUAUUAUUGGGUCUAAAGGGUCUGUAGCCGGCCAGGUAAGUCCCUUGGGAAAUCUGGCAGCUCAACUGUCAGGCUGCUAGGGGAUACUGUUUGGCUUGGGACCGGGAGAGGUGAGAGGUACCUUGGG